UACGUAGGGGGCAAGCGUUGUCCGGAAUUACUGGGCGUAAAGCGUGCGUAGGUGGUUCGUUAAGUCUGAUGUGAAAGCCCUGGGCUCAACCUGGGAAUGGCAUUGGAAACUGGCGACCUAGAGUGCGGUAGAGGGCAGUGGAAUUCCCGGUGUAGCAGUGAAAUGCGUAGAGAUCGGGAGGAACAUCUGUGGCGAAGGCGACUGCCUGGACCAGCACUGACACUGAGGCACGAAAGCGUGGGGAGCAAACAGG
rnacentral:rRNA from 1 species